CCCUAGCCCAGAUGGGAACGGCAUCCUUUUGUGGUGGGGUUCACCACAAAAGAUAUAGUGGACAGCUGGAUUAAGC
rnacentral:sRNA from 1 species